rnacentral:lncRNA from 1 species
CACCUGAUCGUUGUCGGUUGCGUCAAGGUCCUACGCCAAAUAGAUUGUUCCUUUCAUGCUCGACAAGAUGAUGAAGUCCAGCCAUUACAACAUGAAGGCCUUGUUGGUCAUGCUCUAAGCGAUAUGACAAAGGUAAAGGGGCAACAACCAAAUAUGUUGUAACCCAUAGAUUGUCUAACAAUGUCUGAGGCCGGGUUGGUGAGGCUGCUCCUAUGAUGACACAAACUUCAGACAAUAUUUACAGGGUGAACGCUAAGAGGGGCCUUGCUGGUUAUGAUUCCAAGAUGACACAAAUAAUGUUGUUCUAACUAGCAUGAAUGUCUUGUAGGUUCAAAAGGGGGAUUUUAAUUCCUUAUAUUCGUGUGUUAUUAUGUUUUUUAGUGAGAGCUAAUAGAGAAAAAAAUACAUGAUUCAUUGAGAGGAAAACAACAAAUAUUACGGUGGUGAGUUUUUGGAGAAGUAAAAGUUAAUUGUUAUGACAAAAACUAUAUGCUCGAUAGUAUAUGCUAGAUUAUUGCAAC